UCGAAAGUAAGAAAGGGCGGAUGGUGGAUGCCUAGGCUCAUUCAGGCGAAGAAGGACGUGAUAAGCUGCGAUAAGCCGCGGUGAGGUGCAAAUGACCCUUGACCCGCGGAUAUCCGAAUGGGACAACCCAAGUUUUCGGACUUACCGGUCGUUAUAGGACCGGGGCUAACGGAGGGAACUGAAACAUCUUAGUACCUCCAGGAAGAGAAAAUAAGUUAAUGAUUCCCCCAGUAGUGGCGAGCGAGCGGGGAAGAGCCCAAACCGGUGAUGUGUCACCGCAUCAUUGGGGUAGUAGGACCGCGCCAUUGUACUCUAAGGGUGAGGAGAAGCUGCUGGAAAGCGGCGUCAUAGAAGGUGAUAAUCCUGUAUCCGAAGCUUAAGGGAGGCAUAGCGGUAUCCUGAGUAACGCGGAGCACGAGGAAUUCUGCGUGAAUCUGCCGGGACCAUCCGGCAAGGCUAAAUACUCGAAUGAGACCGAUAGUGAACCAGUACCGUGAGGGAAAGGUGAAAAGCACUUCGAUGAAGAAGGUUGAAAGAGAUCCUGAACCCAUCCGCCUACAAGCGGUCGGAGCUGCAUUAGCAGUGACGGCGUGCCUUUUGCAUAAUGAACCUACGAGUUACCGUCUCCAGCGAGGAUAAGUGUCAUGAGACACGCAUCCGUAGUGAAAGCGAGCCUGAAGAGGGCGGUUUUGGCUUAUUUUUAGCCAGGGCGCACCUAUCGUGCGUUAAGUUGGAGGUGGUAGACGCGAAACCAAGUGAUCUACACAUGUCCAGGAUGAAGUCAGGGUAACACCUGAUGGAGGUCCGCACCAAUAAGCGUUGAAAAGCUUCUGGAUGAGGUGUGUGUAGGAGUGAAAGGCCAAUCAAACUUGGAGAUAGCUCGUACUCCCCGAAAGGCAUUUAGGUGCCGCGUGUGGAGAUAAGACAAAGAGGUAGAGCGACCGAUAGGACGCGAGGGCUUCACCGCCUGUCAAGUCCUUCCGAACUCCGAAUGCUUUGUUUCUGCAUCCAUGCAGUAAGGGGGCGGGUGCUAAGGUCCGUCCCCGAGAGGAGAAGAAUCCGGACCGCCGUCUAAGGCCCCGAAGUUUCCGCCGAGUCAGUCUAACGAAGUCCAGUCCCGGUGACAGCCAGGAAGUUGGCUUGGAAGCAGCCAUUCCUUCAAAGAGUGCGUAACAGCUCACUGGUCGAGGGUCAGGGCAUGGAUAAUAAUCGGGUGUAAGCGGGACGCCGAAGGCGCGGGAUAGCAAAUAAUAAAAGUAUCGGUAGGGGAGCAUUCCAAUGUUGUCGAAUGGUGUGCGUGAGCGAUCCUGGAGACAUUGGAAACGCAAAUGUAGGUAUAAGUAACGCUAAGGGGCGUGAGAUUCGCCCCCGCCGCAAGUCUAAGGUUUCCCGGGCAAUGCUGGUCAUCCCGGGGUAAGUCGGGUCCUAAGGAUAAGCCUAAGGGCGCAUCCGAUGGCAGAGACGGUUAAUAUUCCGUCACUUGUCUUACGGGCGAAGUGGAGACGGAGCAGUGGCACGGCCGCGGGGCGACGGAAGUCCCCGUUGAAGAGUGUAGGUGAUGAGAGGUCCAGGCAAAUCCGGACUUUGAGCCGAACUUGAUAGUAUGGAUUCCUCUUCGGUGGAAUCCAAUAGCGCCGGUAAUCAGACUCCCGAGAAAAUCCGCUAAGCCUAACCGUAGGACAACCCGUACCGCAAACCGACACAGGUAGACGGGUAGAGCAUACUGAGGCGUUGAGAGAUUCAUGGUUAAGGAACUAGGCAAACUGACCCUGUAACUUCGGGAUAAAGGGUCCUCAUAGCGAUAUGAGGCGCAGAGAAUAGGUCCAGGCAACUGUUUACCAAAAACACAGGGCUGUGCGAACUCGUAAGAUGAAGUAUACAGCCUGACACCUGCCCGGUGCCGGAAGGUUAAGAGGAGAGCUCAUCCUGCUUUGUCAGGUGAAGGUUUGAAUUGAAGCCCCGGUAAACGGCGGCCGUAACUAUAACGGUCCUAAGGUAGCGAAAUUCCUUGUCGGGUAAGUUCCGACCUGCACGAAUGGUGUAAUGAUCCGGACGCUGUCUCAACCAUGAUCUCAGUGAAAUUGUAGUAUCGGUGAAGAUGCCGAUUACCCGCGAUGGGACGAAAAGACCCCGUGAACCUUUACUAUAGCUUAGCACUGACCUUGGUCAUCCGAUGUGUAGGAUAGGCCGGAGGCUGAGAAAGAGCCACGCGAGUGGUUUUGGAGCCAUCCUUGAAAUACGGCCCUUUGGCUGUCUGAGGUCUAACGCGCUUGAAGUGCGGACACUGCUUGGUGGGUAGUUUGACUGGGGUGGUCGCCUCCAAAAGCGUAACGGAGGCUUCCAAAGGUGCCCUCAGACCGAUUGGUAACCGGUUUUAAGGAGUGUAAUGGCAUAAGGGCGCCUGACUGGGAGGCAGACACGCCGAUCAGGCAGGAAACUGGGGCAUAGUGAUCCGGCGGACGUGUAUGGAAACUCCGUCGCUCAAAGGAUAAAAGGUACUCCGGGGAUAACAGGCUGAUCCCCCCAACGAGCUCAUAUCGACGGGGUGGUUUGGCACCUCGAUGUCGGCUCGUCACAUCCUGGGGCUGGAGAAGGUCCCAAGGGUUGGGCUGUUCGCCCAUUAAAGUGGCACGCGAGCUGGGUUCAGAACGUCGUGAGACAGUUCGGUCUCUAUCUAUCGUGGGCGCAGGAGUUUUGAGUGGUUCCGUCACUAGUACGAGAGGACCGUGACGGACGGACCUCCGGUUUACCUGUUGUGCCGCCAGGCGCAUGGCAGGGUAUCUGCGUCCGGAUGGGAUAAGCGCUGAAAGCAUCUAAGCGCGAAGCCCACCGCGAGAUGAGAGCUCCAUAGAGGGUCGUCGCAGACGACGACGUUGAUAGGCGGCAGGUGUAAAGACAGCGAUGUCAAAGCCGAGCCGUACUAAUUGCCCGAUAUCUUUCGAAU
rfam:Prevotella multisaccharivorax DSM 17128 genomic scaffold scaffold_3, whole genome shotgun sequence.